rnacentral:rRNA from 1 species
UACGUAGGGUGCAAGCGUUAAUCGGAAUUACUGGGCGUAAAGGGCGCGUAGGCGGACAGUUUAGUCAGAGGUGAAAGCCCGGGGCUCAACCUCGGAAUUGCCUUUGAUACUGGCUGUCUUGAGUAUGGAAGAGGUAUGUGGAACUCCGAGUGUAGAGGUGAAAUUCGUAGAUAUUCGGAAGAACACCAGUGGCGAAGGCGACAUACUGGGUCCAUUACUGACGCUGAGGCGCGAAAGCGUGGGGGAGCAAACAGG